rnacentral:rRNA from 1 species
AGAAAGUUACUUCGGUACAUCGGUGACAGGUGGUGCAUGGUUGUCGUCAGCUCGUGUCGUGAGAUGUUGGGUUAAGUCCCGCAACGAGCGCAACCCCUAUUGUUAGUUGCCAUCAUUCAGUUGGGCACUCUAGCGAGACUGCCGGUAAUAAACCGGAGGAAGUGGGAUGACGUCAAAUCAUCAUGCCCCUUAUGACCUGGGCUACACACGUGCUACAAUGGUUGGUACAACGAGUUGCGAGUCGGUGACGGCGAGCUAAUCUCUUAAAGCCAAUCUCAGUUCGGAUUGUAGGCUGCAACUCGCCUACAUGAAGUCGGAAUCGCUAGUAAUCGCGGAUCAGCACGCCCGCGGUCGAAUACGUUCCCGGGCCUU